CACAGGGCCUGGUGUGCGGUGCCCGCUCGGAGCCUCCGGCCCUCGGGAGUAGAAAGAGAACUGGGAUAUCCGGCCACACUGCAGGCCGGGGCAGAGCAGGGUCCUUGAGGGCUCCUGGCCCCCACCCAGGGUCCCCGACCCCUGCCCUGCCCUCGCCCAGGGUGGGAACUGUGAGAUCUCAGGGAAGAGCGACGCGGACGACUUCCGCCGGCUGCUGGCCGCCAUGGAGGUGCUGGGCUUCAGCGCCGAGGACCAGGACAGCAUCUUUCGCAUUCUGGCCUCCAUCCUGCACCUGGGCAACGUCUACUUUGAGAAGUAUGAGACAGACGCGCAGGAGGUUGCCUCGGUGGUGAGUGCCCGGGAGAUCCAGGCCGUGGCCGAGCUGCUGCAGGUCUCCCCCGAGGGCCUGCAGAAGGCCAUCACCUUCAAAGUGACCGAGACAAUGCGAGAGAAGAUCUUCACCCCCCUGACCGUGGAGAGUGCCGUGGAUGCCAGGUGAGGCCACACCUCCCGCCUGAGCCCCAGGUGCCCCGCCCCCUUACUGUGCCUGCCCCCCCCCCCCCCCCCACCCCCCGCCAAACACCAUCUCUGCUCCAGGGAUGCCAUCGCCAAGGUCCUGUACGCGCUGCUUUUUGGCUGGCUCAUCGCCAGGGUCAACGCGCUGGUAUCCCCGCAGCAGGACGCGCUGUCCAUCGCCAUCCUGGACAUCUAUGGCUUCGAGGUGGGGCCCCGGGGGCGCUCUUGCACCGUCACCUGUUCAGGGCCCUCCCCUAUGAUUAUCUCCCUCUGCUCGCCCACAAGCGCUCCCUGGGGCCUCCGGGCGGCAGGCCCUGUGGGCAGCACCAGGGACCCCAGAAAGAACCAGACCUGGGCCCCGACCUCGGGGCGCUUCCAGGAGGGACUGGGUGGGAUGAGGAUGAACACUGACGAACACAUGUGGUCAGAGCUGUAACAGAGGCAGCCUGGCACUGGGGGAGCCUGGAGCAGAACCCUAGCUGGGCAGGCAUCAGGUAAGGUUUCCUGGAGGCGGAGGAGACGUCCUGAGCUAAUUCCUUACAAACCAGCCAAGGCAUUUGAGGUGGAGGGAAC
rnacentral:lncRNA from 1 species